AUUGAACGCUGGCGGCAGGCCUAACACAUGCAAGUCGAGCGAGCGGCGGACGGGUGAGUAAUGUCUGGGAAACUGCCUGAUGGAGGGGGAUAACUACUGGAAACGGUAGCUAAUACCGCAUACCAUCAGAUGUGCCCAGAUGGGAUUAGCUAGUAGGUGGGGUAAUGGCUCACCUAGGCGACGAUCCCUAGCUGGUCGGAGAGGAUGACCAGCCACACUGGAACUGAGACACGGUCCAGACUGCUACGGGAGGCAGCAGUGGGGAAUAGUGCACAAUGGGCGCAAGCCUGAUGCAGCAACGCCGCGUGCGGGAUGACGGCCUUCGGGUUGUAAACCGCUUUCAGCCAUGACGCGGUAGUGGCAGAAGAAGCACCGGCUAACUACGUGCCAGCCGCCGCGGUAAUUC
rnacentral:rRNA from 1 species